rnacentral:rRNA from 1 species
AGUAACGGCGAGUGAAGCGGGAAGAGCUCAAAUUUGUAAGCUGGCCGGUCCCCGGUCCGCCUUGUAACCUGUAGAGCUAGAACUGUGCCGGUCCUCUCAUGAGUUUGCUGGAAUGCAACGUCAAAGAGGGUGAGAACCCCGUUCUUGGUGAGGAUCCCGGUGCUCUAUGUUCUGGUUUCGAAGAGUCGAGUUGUUUGGGA